rnacentral:rRNA from 1 species
UGGCAGACGGGUGNAGUANUANUAUCGGAACGUACCCAAGAGUGGGGGAUAACGUAAGCGAAAGUUACGCUAAUACCGCAUACGAUCUAUGGAUGAAAGUGGGGGAUCGCAAGACCUCAUGCUCCUGAGAGCGGCCGAUAUCUGAUUAGCUAGUUGGUGAGGUGUAGGCUCACCAAGGCGACGAUCNGUAGCUGGUCUGAGAGGACGACCAGCCACACUGGAACUGAGACACGGUCCAGACUCCUACGGGAGGCGGCAGUGGGGAAUUUUGGACAAUGGGCGCANGCCUGAUCCAGCAAUGCCGCGUGAGUGAAGAAGGCCUUCGGGUUGUAAAGCUCUUUUGUCAGGGAAAAAACGGUGGGAGCUAAUAUCUCUUGCUAAUGACGGUACCUGAAAAAUAAGCACCGGCUAACUACGUGCCAGCAGCCGCGGUAAUACGUAUGGUGCANGCGUUAAUCGGAAUUACUGGGCGUAAAGCGUGCGCNCGCGGUUUUGUANGUCUGUCGUGAAAGCCCCGGGCUCAACCUGGGAAUNGCGAUNGAGACU